GACGAACGCUGGCGGCGUGCUUAACACGUGCAAGUCGAACGGAAAGGCCCUGCUUUUGUGGGGUGCUCGAGUGGCGAACGGGUGAGUAACACGUGAGUAACCUGCCCUUGACUUUGGGAUAACUUCAGGAAACUGGGGCUAAUACCGGAUAGGAGCUCCUGCUGCAUGGUGGGGGUUGGAAAGUUUCGGCGGUUGGGGAUGGACUCGCGGCUUAUCAGCUUGUUGGUGGGGUAGUGGCUUACCAAGGCUUUGACGGGUAGCCGGCCUGAGAGGGUGACCGGCCACAUUGGGACUGAGAUACGGCCCAGACUCCUACGGGAGGCAGCAGUGGGGAAUAUUGCACAAUGGGCGGAAGCCUGAUGCAGCAACGCCGCGUGCGGGAUGACGGCCUUCGGGUUGUAAACCGCUUUCGCCUGUGACGAAGCGUGAGUGACGGUAAUGGGUAAAGAAGCACCGGCUAACUACGUGCCAGCAGCCGCGGUGAUACGUAGGGUGCGAGCGUUGUCCGGAUUUAUUGGGCGUAAAGGGCUCGUAGGUGGUUGAUCGCGUCGGAAGUGUAAUCUUGGGGCUUAACCCUGAGCGUGCUUUCGAUACGGGUUGACUUGAGGAAGGUAGGGGAGAAUGGAAUUCCUGGUGGAGCGGUGGAAUGCGCAGAUAUCAGGAGGAACACCAGUGGCGAAGGCGGUUCUCUGGGCCUUUCCUGACGCUGAGGAGCGAAAGCGUGGGGAGCGAACAGGCUUAGAUACCCUGGUAGUCCACGCUGUAAACGGUGGGUACUAGGUGUGGGGUCCAUUCCACGGGUUCCGUGCCGUAGCUAACGCUUUAAGUACCCCGCCUGGGGAGUACGGCCGCAAGGCUAAAACUCAAAGGAAUUGACGGGGCCCCGCACAAGCGGCGGAGCAUGCGGAUUAAUUCGAUGCAACGCGUAGAACCUUACCUGGGUUUGACAUGGAUCGGGAGUGCUCAGAGAUGGGUGUGCCUCUUUUGGGGUCGGUUCACAGGUGGUGCAUGGCUGUCGUCAGCUCGUGUCGUGAGAUGUUGGGUUAAGUCCCGCAACGAGCGCAACCCUUGUUCACUGUUGCCAGCACGUUAUGGUGGGGACUCAGUGGAGACCGCCGGGGUCAACUCGGAGGAAGGUGGGGAUGACGCCAAGUCAUCAUGCCCCUUAUGUCCAGGGCUUCACGCAUGCUACAAUGGCUGGUACAGAGAGUGGCGAGCCUGUGAGGGUGAGCGAAUCUCGGAAAGCCGGUCUCAGUUCGGAUUGGGGUCUGCAACUCGACCUCAUGAAGUCGGAGUCGCUAGUAAUCGCAGAUCAGCAACGCUGCGGUGAAUACGUUCCCGGG
rnacentral:rRNA from 1 species